rnacentral:misc_RNA from 1 species
GAUGAAGAACGUAGUGAAAUGCGAUACGUAAUGUGAAUUGCAGAAUUCAGUGAAUCAUCGAAUCUUUGAACGCAUAUUGCGCUCUUUGGUAUUCCGAAGAGCAUGCUUGUUUGAGUAUCAGUAAACACCUCAAAGACUUCAAUUUGUUUUGAAUGGCUUUGGACUUGAGCAAUCCCAACACCAGUCUUUACGAUCGGUGGAGGGUUGCUUGAAAUGCAGGUGCAGCUGGACAUUCUCCUGAGCUAAAAGCAUAUUUAUUUAGUCCCGUCAAACGGAUUAUUACUUUUGCUGCAGCUAACAUAAAGGGAGUUUGACCGUAUUGGCUGACUGAUGCAGGAUUUCACAAGGGUCGGCAACGAUUCUUGUAAAUCUCGAUCUCAAAUCAAGUAAGACUACCCGCUGAACUUAAGCAUAUCAAUAAGCGGAGGA